rnacentral:rRNA from 1 species
UACAGAGGUGGCAAGCGUUGUUCGGAAUUACUGGGCGUAAAGGGCGCGUAGGCGGUCCCGUCAGUCCCUUGUGAAAUCCCCCGGCUCAACUGGGGAACUGCAAGGGAUACAGCGGGGCUUGAGUUCGGGAGAGGGAAGCGGAAUUCCGGGUGUAGCGGUGAAAUGCGCAGAUAUCAGGAGGAACACCGGUGGCGAAGGCGGGUCUCUGGGCCGAUAUUGACGCUGAGGAGCGAAAGCGUGGGGAGCGAACAGG